rnacentral:rRNA from 1 species
CGGGGGGCAGCAGCAAGGAAUAUUGUGCAAUGGGCGAAAGCCUGACACAGCGACGCUGCGUGAGGGAAGAAGGCCUUCGGGUUGUAAACCCCUUUUCUCAGGGAAGAAUAAUGACGGUACCUGAGGAAUAAGUCACGGCUAACUACGUGCCAGCAGCCGCGGUAAUACGUAGGUGGCAAGCGUUAUCCGGAUUUACUGGGUGUAAAGAGGGUGCGGGCGGCUUUUCAAGUCGAAUAUAAAAUCUCCUGACUUAAUUGGGAGGGACUAUUCGAUACUGUUGGGCUAGAGGGCAGCAGGGGGAGGUGGAAUUCCCGGUGUAGUGGUGAAAUGCGUAGAUAUCGGGAGGAACACCUGUGGCGAAGGCGGCCUCCUGGGCUGUUGCUGACGCUGAGGCCCGAAAGCGUGGGGAGCAAACAGGAUUAGAUACCCCGGUAGUC